GAUCACCAUUGAGUGUCCCCGCAAGGCUUUAUCACCAAAGAGCCUGCAUGAAAACUUCAUAAGAAGCAAGUGUGUUCCUUGAAUUUCAUUGCAAUCUUUUCAUCGAAGGAUUACCUUUGCAUUCAGCUAAUAGCAGAGAGGAAAAUGAAGGCCAUCGUUCAGCUGUUCCUUCUUCUGGUUAUCGCCACCCUUGUCACUGGAAAGAACAUUCCAAAAACAGCCGAUGAUCUUGGGCUUCCUGUGGAUGAUUCUGAUUCAGAUUCACUCCCCGCGGAAGUCGAAAACGAUCCUGACAGAGCCUCUUUUGACACAACAUUGACUGACCUUGAUUUUCCGUAUGACGAGGAGAAUGAUCCUGGCAGCGCAUGAUCAGGUAGUUUGUGGUAGGAGGAGAAUGCAAAGAGCCAAGGAUCUGGGGAUCUAUAACAUCCGAAAAUUUUUGGCAUCUGAGGGAAAAAGUUUAUAGAAAAAACCCUGAAGCAAGAAUUUGUCAAUAUGCGAAUAUGUCAACCUAAACGGUUAAGAAUAAAUGGGAAAAAAAAUUACAA